ACGAACGCUGGCGGCGUGCCUAAUACAUGCAAGUUGAGCGCUGAAGGUUGGUACUUGUACCGACUGGAUGAGCAGCGAACGGGUGAGUAACGCGUGGGGAAUCUGCCUUUGAGCGGGGGACAACAUUUGGAAACGAAUGCUAAUACCGCAUAAAAACUUUAAACACAAGUUUUAAGUUUGAAAGAUGCAAUUGCAUCACUCAAAGAUGAUCCCGCGUUGUAUUAGCUAGUUGGUGAGGUAAGGGCUCACCAAGGCGAUGAUACAUAGCCGACCUGAGAGGGUGAUCGGCCACAUUGGGACUGAGACACGGCCCAAACCCCUACGGGAGGCAGCAGUAGGGAAUCUUCGGCAAUGGACGAAAGUCUGACCGAGCAACGCCGCGUGAGUGAAGAAGGUUUUCGGAUCGUAAAACUCUGUUGGUAGAGAAGAACGUUGGUGCGAGUGGAAAGCUCAUCAAGUGACGGUAACUACCCAGAAAGGGACGGCUAACUACGUG
rnacentral:rRNA from 1 species